AAGCAUUGUUUCUUAAUCUGAGUAUAUCAAUAUUACCUUGUUCAGAACUUAAAGAGAAAUCUUGAGUUUUUGGACUUCAGGGGGAGUAUGGUCACAAGGCUGAAACUUAAAGGAAUUGACGGAAGGGCACACCAGGAGUGGAGCCUGCGGCUUAAUUUGACUCAACACGGGAAAACUUACCAAGACCGAACAGUAGAAGGAAUGACAGAUUAAGAGUUCUUUCAUGAUUUAUUGGGUAGUGGUGCAUGGCCGUUCUUAGUUGGUGGAGUGAUUUGUCAGGUUAAUUCCGGUAACGAACGAGACUGAAACCUAUUAAUUAGUUUUCUGCCUAUAAGACAGAAAUGUUCGCAAGAACAGGUGCGUAAGUACCACUUCUUAAAGGGACACAUUUCAAUUGUCCUAUUUUAAUUGUAGUUAU
rnacentral:rRNA from 1 species